ACAGACUCUUGGCCUUUUGGCUAAGAUCAAGUAUAGUAUCUGUUCUUAUCAGUUCACUAUCUGAUAUGUCCUCUGAGGACAAUAUAUUAAAUGGAUUUGGGGAGCAGGGAGAUGGAAUAGGAGCUUGCUCAGUCCACUCCACGCAUCGACCUGGUAUUGCAGUGCUUCCAGGAACGGUGCACCCCUC
rnacentral:snRNA from 1 species